ensembl:lncRNA
AGACUGGAUGGCUUUUCUGCCAUCUGAUCUCUCACCACAACAGACUAGAGGGUUUCUGCCAUCAGAUCCCUCACCACAACGGAUUCAAGGUUUCUGCCAUCAGAUCCCUCACUACGGACCGUAUGCUGACGGACUUCCCUGGGCCUGCUACCUGAGACCUGCUGCUUCCUCUCAGACUUACUCUGUGGCUUCUUCCUGGACCCACCUGGUACCUGCACCUUCUCAUUGCCCAAGACCGGCCUCGCUGCUCCUGCCCUUCGGCCUCGGACCAUCGGAACGGCGUGCAACAGACCGCUGCUGGAUCAUGGUGGAGAGAUGCUCCACUUUCUUCACCAUCUUCAUGGCUCUUUGCUGUACUAUUUUCAGUAGCUCCAUGUCUCCAACAAGAGCACAGAAUGACAGAAUCACAGAAUGGCCUGGGUUGGAAGAGACCUCAAGGAUCAUGAAUCUCCAAACUGCCUGCCGGACAGGGCCACCAACCUCCCCAUUUACUAGACCAGGUUGCCCAGGGUCCCAUCCAACCUGGCCUUGAACACCUCCAGGGACGGAGCAUCUACAACCUCUCUGGGCAGCCCGUUCCAGCACCUCACCACUCUCCUGAACAUCCGGAAAACACUGUUGUCAAGAACUUUGACUUCUAGCCUGUCUUUACUGUGAGGCACUGGCACAUCAGUGGAGAGAGAACUGGGGGCCGGAAACAGCUUCUCAGGAGCACAUCAUCAUCAGCCUGCAGACUCUAGCAAAACAAUAAUAUUCCAAGCUGAGCCUGGAAGAUGGUCCCUUUUCUCUAGAAGCUGGGUGGAACUUCUAGUUUUGUUUCUCCAGGAAUAUAUGUAUAGCGUGCUUUUUCAACGUGUACCUAUUAUAAUGGUGGGCAAUAAUUUUACUGAUAAUAAAAUGGACAAUAGUUUUAGAUAUCUUUCUAUUAUAUAUUCAAUUUUAGAAGGGAUUAAAGGGAUAGUUUAUUGUGCUGUGAGAUAUCUGUAAUAUGCCUUCACUGAAAACUCAUUUAUAAUAUUAGAUAAAAGCCUUUUUCAUUCUGAGGUAACGCCUAAAUGUUGUGUCCUCUUUAUCUACAUUAAACAUUUUUCAUGAACCUUACUGACUGGUUCAGAUCAAAACACUGAAACAUUGGAAAGGAAAGGUUAUUUAAGAGCAGACUGCAUAUCAUUUGUGCUCAGAGCAGUUAAUAUAAUUGCUGAUUUUCUUCUAUAAACAAAUGUGAAUUAGUAUUACAUGCAGUCAAAAUAGAUGAAACAGUUGGAUACUUUGCAAUUAGUGGCUUUUUUAUGUCAAAAUGUAUGAGUUCUUCUUUGAUUCUUGCAAUUCCAGCUGAGAUAGAUAAUAUCACAUUUUGGAACAAUCUUUUAUAACAGUCCUUCACUUUCUUUCUUUGCAUAUAAAUGAAAAGUAAAUAGGAAAUAUAUCUUGUUUAUACAGGGUAGUUUAAAACUGUCUCUUAAUUGAGCUUCUUAUAUUGCUCUUUGAGUUUUCAGUUAUACUUGUCAUUGUUCUACCAAAGUCAUUCAUAUUUGAAUGAAAAUGCAAGUUUUAAGAGAGGAUGUAAGAAAGUAAUUUUUAAAAAUAUCCCUAGAAUAAGAGCCCUUGACUUCUGUAACUUGUUAAAGUUAAAAGAUUGCAUCACUAAAAAAUAUAACCCCAAACUUUCAAUUUUUAAUUAUAGGAGAUUCCUUACUAUUGUCAAGAUUUUUGCUUUUAUGAUACAAAACAAAUAUGUAAAACUAAAAAUGCAUAAAACCACUAGUUUUAUGUGAUUAUCAUGCAUUGUUAAACACACUUAAUCUGUCCUUACCUUUAUUUAAUUGAAACUUAUUCAGAGUAUAAUAUCCAGAAUGAAGAAUGAAAGAAAGAUGAUGAUCUGGCAUACCUUCAUCAUUAUUUUGAUCUGAGCUUUGUAUUCAGUAAUCAAUAUGUGACUUCAGUAUAAAAAUACAGCACAAAUGCUUUAUUUCCUCUCCUAUAGUGAGAUUAGAAUUAUUUCUGAAUCACCACUGUGUAAUAACUAGACAAUAAAUUAAUUCUAUCAAU